ACUUCUUUAUUACUAUGGAUAUAUUACUCUGUUACAUCUAGAGGCUCUAGACUCGUGACUCCAGAUCUAUUGGGAAAUGUUUGCUAUUUUAAGCAUUAUUUAUUAACGGAUUGCGUAUUUGGGUUGAGAGUAUUUAAUUGGUCGGGCUUUCCUAGCAUUAGUGUUGGGCGCCAUCAUGACCGGGAUUGGGGUCGUGACACUAGGUGGUCGAGUGAUCAAGAAGUUAUAUUCUCCAAGCUUAGGGUGAGGUCUGACGAGAAAGAUGAAACAUAUAUAGCAGCCUCCUUAUCAAUUUGGCUAUGUGCUUUUGUGUUUCCCUAUAAGGCAGAGAACUUCUUUCGUCCCGAGACUUUUAAGAUGGCAAGCAAAUUCUUCCCAGCUUGAUCAGGUCAAAAUUUGUUUUCCCAUCCAUUAUGUUUACGGUUGGCUUGCACAUUACCUCAAAACCCAUUAUCCACUUGCGAAGGGUCCGUCUGUCCCUUUCAUGGCAGCAUACUCAGGAGAGGAGCUGCGAGGAAUUUUGACAAGAAGGGUGCAAGAAAAUACAUCCACAAUGGGGAGGUUAUAGUUUGGACAUCAACAAUGUUAACCAAUUAUCGUCCUUAUUAUUAUGUGGAUAACGAUGCCCCUCAAGAGAUUAAAUUACUUCACGAGCUUAUGUUUUAAUAACCUCCCUCUAAGGUAUGAUAACUCAUUCAUCAUCUAGCCAUAUAGGUUGCAUCGGUUCGGUCGUCAAUUUGUGUUUUAGAACGUUGUCGAUUUUUUGGAGAAUGAUAUCUGUAGCGCCUCUCUAGAUAAAGGACUCAUGUUGAGUUAUCCAUCGUCCCCGGCAGUUCAUGCGGAUCUACCACAGGCGGCGUCUUCGUCCCAGCCCAUCUUUGAGGACACUACAUGCGGUGAUGAGCACACCAUGGAUACAUAUACCCGGAGGUCGACGAGACCAUGGUUGCUGACGGCCCGACGGCCUAUUCUUCCGAUCCUGCCAGUUGUAGGGUUGAUGCUGCUGCACAUCCUCACAUAAGGAGGCGGCUUGAUGAUGAUGAUCCAGAUAGUGUGCCCGGGCGACAGGGGAUGCGACUUAGGCCAGCAGCAGCACUGAAGCACACAGGCUGCGACACUCACUGAUUUACUUAUGUAUUAACUUUGUGUAAAUAGUGCUUUAUGUAAAUAAU